CUUUCCUCUUUGCCGUUUCUUCAUGGUGCAAACCUUCAUUUGCGGUGGCAUGCAGGCUCCGAGUCAAUGAUCAACCCAGGAACCUGGGGCCAGAAAGGCCACUGAUUCUUCAUGAUCUGCAGAGCUGAUCCCGCAACCUUCAGAAGGUGCCUGGUGCAGAUUGCCGUGCGACAGGCAGUGUUUAUAAAGCGCUUACCAUGGGCAAGGUGCUGUGCUAAAUCAGCCCUCUGCCAGCACACGCCAUCUCCUUUAACCCUGUCAGCCUGUCCCUGCCUUCCCCUUGCUGCUUCUCAUUCCUGGUCCUGCUGACAGCACCUUCAAAGCCCAGCCCUGGCUCACCACGCGUUCCACCUUCCCCUGCCCAGCCCCUAUCAACCACUGACCACUGACCACUGCCUGGGCAUCCUCUGGCUCUCCUGCACCCGCCCUGGUCCCUGCAACUCAUCUAUCCCCCCAUAACAACCAGGAGGCCUUUGAACAUUUGAAA